UGCUUGCUUAUAGAUGGUG
rnacentral:miRNA from 1 species